rnacentral:rRNA from 1 species
UGUGUAGGCGGUCGUGUUAGUCUUUUGUUAAAGUUUUUGGGCUUAACCCAGAAAAUGCAGGGGAAACGGCACGACUUCGAGGACGCGAGAGGUAGAGGGAACUCAUGGUGUAGGGGUGAAAUCCGUUGAUAUCAUGGGGAACACCAAAUGCGAAGGCACUCUACUGGCGCGCUCCUGACGCUGAAACACGAAAGCGUGGGAAUCGAAG